UCACCCCAUCUCAACAUCCCUUCCAGUUUUUGGAAAAUUCCCUAUUCUGAAAUUCUUGGUGAGGAGCAAGCUUUUGCCAUCCAUCACAGCAGAUGGAAGAGCCAUUUAUUCUUCCUCACCAAACACUGAGCUCUAAAGCUUUAACAUGUGACUUACUGGAUAGUCCUGCCUGGAACUCUGAAUCGUGAGGAAAUCACAAAAUCACAAAUACCAUCAGGAAGUUGUCUACAGUGGUGCCAAUGGGUCAAGAGUCCCAUGGCAGUGGUCCAGUGCCCAGGGUUGCAGGUGUCAUUGGGGGGACAAUGGAGGCAGCAGCCUCUGGCUGUUAACUCUUUUUUUUUCUACUCACAGUCUGAGCCUGUGUCUCCAGAAUUCAGAAAAUAAUAUGCACUUAUUGAUAAACUUACAGCAGCCAGCAGCCCUAUAUACAAUGAAACUCCACCAGGACAGGAGUUUGGGUGUGUUUUGUUCACUGAUGGAUCCCAAGUACAUGAAGAAGCUCAGGUCAUGAUCUCACUGUUGGAUCAAGCCCCGGGUCCGGCUCUGCGACGACAGUGCGGAUCUUGCUUGGGAUCCUCUCUCUCCCUCUCUUUGCUCCUCUCCCUCCUUCUACCCCGCCUGCCUCUCAAAAAUAAAGAAAUAAACAUUAAAAGAAUAACAGGGAUGUCUAAAAUGUCAUUUUAAGUUGUUUUCGAAGUCCUACAGUGAUAGCACACACAACACACAAGAAGCCUGCUACACACAACA